rfam:Homo sapiens chromosome 7, GRCh38 reference primary assembly.
GCCGGGCGCGGUGGCGCACGCCUGUAAUCCAGCACUUUGGGAGGCCGAGACAGGUGGAUCGCUUGAGGUCAGGAGUUGAGAUCAGCCUGACCAAUAUGGUGAAACCCUGUCUCUA